CUGGAUUGCCUUGUCGGACAGGGGCAGCAGGCACAGGCCAGUCUGCUUGUCGCGGUGGCAACUCUUCUGCAGCUGGGCAUAGGUGAGGUGUUCCUGAGUGUUGGGACAGUAGAAAGCCUUGGCAUCAUCUUGGAACUCAGUCAGAGCCUUGUUUAUCUCUGGGUCAAAGUAGCCGCGCUUGUAGGUGACCUCAAGCGGGAGCCUGUGGCUGUUGACGGGGUCGAUGAUGCCACCAGUGGCAAGCUGGACGUCCAGCAGCCGGAGCCCAGUGUCGCUGGGGAUGAGGCCCUUCUGGAGUGCUUGGUAGAGGGAAACCGUCUGACCAGUGUAGGGAUCCUUGUAGCCAGUCACCGCCUUCUCUGCCGACAGCAGCUUCUCGUGGAACUCUGGCCCCACAACCUCGGCCUUCACCGCCUCAUCCACGGAGAAGAGCUUGUUACCCACGGGGUCAAUGAUGUAGCCGGUGGCAGCUUGUGCCUCCAGCAGGGGCAGGGCAACCUCUGGCUUCAGCAGGUUUCUCUUCAGGGCCUCGUAGAAGGUGAGCUUCUGGCCUGUAGACUCCACCAGGACACCAGCGAUGGCAUCUGUGCCCUUCAGGUACUGCCGUACAGAUUCCAUCUCUGCCACAUCCUUUACAGACUUCUUGCCCUGGUGCAGCUGGUUGUAGAGGUCCUUGUUGAUGAUCUUGCUCUCCAGCAGCUCGGCAGCGGGCACAGGUCCCCGCAGGCCCUCAAAGCACAUCUGGCUCUUUUUCUCACUUUCUUCCACAACCGUGAUGACGAUCUUGAUGAUCUUCUCCACUGUGAUCUUGCCAGUCCUGUACUGCUGGAUCAGGUCCCGCCUUUGGUCCUCAGUGAAGUAUUCAGAGUUGAUGAGCUCCCAGAUGGUCAUUGUCUUCCCUUGGAACUUGCCAAACGGUGCUGUCACUGUGGCCUUCUUGAAGACAUCCUUGGCUUCCUUGUCAGUGUAGACCAGCUCUCUAGCUUUGGCUGCUUGGUCAGUGAGUGGCAGGAGGCACAGCCCUGUGUCUGGGUCAGUCACGCACCGCUCCAUGAGCUGCAAGUAGGUGAGGUUCUCCUGAGUGUUGGGAUCGAAGAAGCCCUUGGUGUCAUCAGUGGGGUCAGACAGGACCUGAUUCAUCUCCUCAUCAAAGUAGCCACGCUUGUAGGCGGCUUCCACAGGCAGACGGUGGCUGUUGACAGGAUCGAUGAUGCCGCCGGUGGCGAUCUGGGCCUCGAGCAGGCGGAUGCCGUGAUCCCUGACGAUCAGAUCCUUCUGCAUGGCCUGGAACAGGGAGAUCUUGUCACCUGUGUAUGGAUCCUUAUAGCCGGUGACAGCCCGCUCGGCCGACAGCAUCUUGUUGUGCAGCUCUGGCCCGAUCACUCCCUCUCGCACUGCCUCGUUCACCGAGAGCCUUGCAUUCCGCACAGGGUCAAUGAUGAAGCCAGAAGCAGCCUGUGCCUCCAGGAGCACCAGUGCUGUGCCUGGGCUGAGCAGCUUCUUCUUCAUGGCUUCGUAGAUGCUCAUCUUCUGGUUGGAAGGUUUGAUCAGCAAACCGGCAAUGCUGCUCUUGCCCUGCAGGUACUUCUUGACAUCCUCCCUCUGAGAGAGCUCGCCCACACUCACGACACCCUUUGCCAACUUGUCUAA
ensembl:lncRNA